rnacentral:misc_RNA from 1 species
GGAUGAAGAACGCAGCGAAAUGCGAUACUUGGUGUGAAUUGCAGAAUCCCGUGAACCAUCGAGUCUUUGAACGCAAGUUGCGCCCGAAGCCACUAGGCCGAGGGCACGCCUGCCUGGGCGUCACACGCCGUUGCCCCCCCAUCUACUCCUUCGGGAUUGCGGGGGGGCGGAUGAUGGCCUCCCGUGCGCCUAGCCGCGCGGUUGGCAUAAAUACCAAGUCCUCGGCGACGCACGCCACGACAAUCGGUGGUUGCGAAACCUCGGUUGCCCGUCGUGUGCGUUCGUCGCGCAUCGAGGGCUCGAAAAAAUGCUCGGCUCCGGCUGGGCUUUCAACGCGACCCCAGGUCAGGCGGGGUUACCCGCUGAAUUUAAGCAUAUCAAUAAGCGGAGGA